rnacentral:rRNA from 1 species
CAGUCGACGGUAACAGGAAGCAGCUUGCUGCUUUGCUGACGAGUGGCGGACGGGUGAGUAAUGUCUGGGAAACUGCCUGAUGGAGGGGGAUAACUACUGGAAACGGUAGCUAAUACCGCAUAACGUCGCAAGACCAAAGAGGGGGACCUUCGGGCCUCUUGCCAUCGGAUGUGCCCAGAUGGGAUUAGCUUGUUGGUGGGGUAACGGCUCACCAAGGCGACGAUCCCUAGCUGGUCUGAGAGGAUGACCAGCCACACUGGAACUGAGACACGGUCCAGACUCCUACGGGAGGCAGCAGUGGGGAAUAUUGCACAAUGGGCGCAAGCCUGAUGCAGCCAUGCCGCGUGUAUGAAGAAGGCCUUCGGGUUGUAAAGACUUUUCAGCGGGGAGGAAGGGAGUAAAGUUAAUACCUUUACUCAUUGACGUUACCCGCAGAAGAAGCACCGGCUAACUCCGUGCCAGCAGCCGCGGUAAUACGGAGGGUGCAAGCGUUAAUCGGAAUUACUGGGCGUAAAGCGCACGCAGGCGGUUUGUUAAGUCAGAUGUGAAAUCCCCGGGCUCAACCUGGGAACUGCAUCUGAUACUGGCAAGCUUGAGUCUCGUAGAGGGGGGUAGAAUUCCAGGUGUAGCGGUGAAAUGCGUAGAGAUCUGGAGGAAUACCGGUGGCG